rnacentral:rRNA from 1 species
UGUCUCAAAGAUUAAGCCAUGCAUGUCUAAGUCCAAGCUGUGUUCACACGGCGAGACCGCGGACGGCUCAUUAAAUCAGUCGUGGUCCAAAUGGGCCAGUGCAAAUCCUACUUGGAUAACUGUGGUAAUUCCAGAGCUAAUACAUGCAACUGAUAUCCCGAAGGCGGUGUUUGGGCUUGCUUGCCUUGCGCUGCGCUGCUCUGACGGAUGCUUUUAUUAGACCAAGCCGCUGAGGACUUGAGGGUUCGCGCUCUCUUGUCUGACUCGUGUGAUGGUGACUCUGGAUAACCAAAUUCUGACAAGCGCACGUACUUCUCUUCUGAGCGAGACGGCGCUGCCACUUUCGAGUGUCUGCCUUAUCAGCUAUCAACCGUUCGUUAUGCGCGACCGAUGGCUUUGACGGGUAACGGGGAAUCAGGGUUCGAUUCCGGAGAGGCAGCCUGAGAGACGGCUACCACGUCCAAGGACGGCAGCAGGCACGCAAAUUACCCAAUCCCAGCAAAUGGGGGAGGUAGUGACGAAAUCUAACGAUGCGGGCGCCCUUUCUGGGGCCCCGCAAUCGGAAUGGGCACUUUCUAAACAACCUG